CAGCUGCCCCAGUCACCUUCUCCUGACAGCCUUGUCCCUGGAGAGGAUGACCUCCCUGGUUAUGCACUCAAUGUUGACCCUGAUCUCUGACAUCAACUCCACUGUGGGGGGAAUGACAGUGAACUCACAAUUCUGCCUGCUGUCUGACAGCCACUCUGCUUUGUGUCCCCAGGCAGUUUGGAGGCCCUCGUGGUCACUGACCUGCUCUGACGCCUGCUCAUCUGUCUGCCCAACAUUCUCUGGCCCACCUGAUCCCCCACCCGACUGGAUACCUUGUUACAAUUUUGAAAGGAGAGGCCCACAUCUAACAGUAAGUGAGAAAGGCAGGUGGAGGCUCUUGUGGUCACUGACCUGCUCUGAAGCCUGCACAUCUUCUGGCCCUGAUCGAACCCACCUGAUCUCCACACCCACCUGCUUACCUUCUUACCAUCUUGAGAGGAGAGGCCCACAUCCAACAGGGAGUGUCAGAAAGGCAGUUGGAGGCCCUCGUGGUCACUGACCUGCUCUGACGCUCACUCACCUGCCUGCCCUGCUCUGACCCACCUGAUCCCCACACCCGCCUGGUUACCUCGUUACCAUCUUGAGGAGAGGCCCACAUCCAAAAGUGAAAAUCAGAAAGGUGAGCAAGAGCUGUACCCUCAGCCCCUACUGACACUUCAAGUAAAGAAGCCCAUGGUGGGUGCCUGGACCACUCUGGUCUGAGGUUGAGGUGACAAGGACACCCAGCACCAACCACCAUAUGCACAGUCCCCUUAGGCCUCUGUGAAAUGUGGGCUGCUGACAGAGGUGCCUCAGUCCCUGUCAGGAGCCUGAGGUCAGAGCUCAGAAUCCUGGACCAGAAGUGGAAGAGGG
rnacentral:lncRNA from 9 species